UUAUUUAUACCACUCACAUAAUGAGAGAAUUAAUUACGAACAAUAGCUUCUUUCAUGGUAUUAGAGCAAUUUGGUUCUCACUUACUCUACCAUCCAUUUCUUAUCUGUUUCUUUUCUCCUCUAUCGUCCUCUUUUCUUUUUCUUUUCCUCUCAUUCCUUCUACCAUGGCUACUGAAUCCAAAAUUCAUCCAGCCCUUACUACUUCCAAUAUCAAAAACAUAAUUCCUAUUACCUUAGAGAUAGAAAAAGGACAUUACACCUCCUGGGAAACUCUAUUUAAAAUACAUUGCAGAGCUUACCAGGUCAUUGAUCACAUCAUACCUGCAAAACCAACCACAGCAAGCUUACCCGACAUAUUCACCCACCGAUCUCACUCAAGCCAUGCAUGCUCUUCCACUACAACAACCUGAUGAUAAUUGGUAUUUUGACACCGGUGCUACAUCUCAUAUGACGGGUUCCCAAGGAUUACCAAACGAGGAUCUGACUCAUGAGAUGCAAUAGCCAGAGUGAUUUAUAUCCGCUUUCAUCCUCAGUUAUCCAACAACUACAACCUCAAGCUCUUUCCGUAGUUUCUCAAAACAUUUGGCAUCAUCGCUUAGGACAUCUCGGCGUAGUUAUUUUAAGUUUACUUAGAAAAAAUAAGUCUAUCUCUUGUAAUCGUACUAAAUCUCCUUUUCUUUGUCAAUCAUGUGUAUUUGUUAAACAAACUAAAUUACCAUUUAUUAACUCUAUGACUACUA